UGCGGCGUGCUUACACAUGCAAGUCGAACGAACUUCGGGUUAGUGGCGGACGGGUGAGUACGCUGAAUCUGCCCUCAGUGAGGGGGACAACAGUUGGAAACGACUGCUAAUACCCCAUAUGCCGCGAGGUGAAAUGAAUUUCGCCUGAGUGAUGAGCUCGCGUCUGAUUAGCUAGUUGGUGUAGUAAUGGCUCACCAAGGCAUCGAUCAGUAGCUGGUCUGAGAGGAUGAUCAGCCACACUGGGACUGAGACACGGCCCAGACUCCUACGAGGAGGCAGCCAGUGGGGAAUUUUCCGCAAUGGGCGAAAGCCUGACGGAGCACGCCGCGUGAGCGGAUGAAGGCCUCUGGGCUGUAAACCUCUUUUAUCAAGGAAGAAGAUCUGACGGUACUUGAUGAAUAAGCCACGGCUAAUUCCGUGCCACACAGACGCAGGUAAUACGGGAGUGGCAAAGCGUUAUCCGGAAUUAUUGGGCGUAAAGCGUCCGCAACGCGGCCCUUCAAGUCAUGCUGUUAAAAACGUGGAGCUUUAACAUCCAAUCAAUGGCAGGUGGAAAACUUGUUGGGCUUGAAGGUAGUUGGGAUCACGGCAGCAGAGGGGAAUUACCCGGGUUGUAGCGGGAU
rnacentral:rRNA from 1 species